UACGUAGGGUGCGAGCGUUGCCCGGAUUUAUUGGGCGUAAAGGGCGCGUAGGCGGCCACGCACGUCCGUUGUGAAAUCGCCCGGCUCAACUGGGCGGGGUCAGCGGAUACGGUGUGGCUCGAGCAAGCUAGGGGGCAAUGGAACUCCCGGUGUAGUGGUGGAAUGCGUAGAUAUCGGGAAGAACACCAGUGGCGAAGGCGGUUGCCUGGAGCUUUGCUGACGCUGAUGCGCGAAAGCUAGAGGAGCAAACAGG
rnacentral:rRNA from 1 species